GACGAACGUUGGCGGCGUGCUUAACACAUGCCAGUCGAACGGAAGGGCCCUGCUUUUGUGGGGUGCUCGAGUGGCGAACGGGUGAGUAACACGUGAGUAACCUGCCCUUGACUUUGGGAUAACUUCAGGAAACUGGGGCUAAUACCGGAUAGGAGCUCCUGCUGCAUGGUGGGGGUUGGAAAGUUUCGGCGGUUGGGGAUGGACUCGCGGCUUAUCAGCUUGUUGGUGGGGUAGUGGCUUACCAAGGCUUUGACGGGUAGCCGGCCUGAGAGGGUGACCGGCCACAUUGGGACUGAGAUACGGCCCAGACUCCUACGGGAGGCAGCAGUGGGGAAUAUUGCACAACGGGCGGAAGCCUGAUGCAGCAACGCCGCGUGCGGGAUGACGGCCUUCGGGUUGUAAACCGCUUUCGCCUGUGACGAAGCGUGAGUGACGGUAAUGGGUAAAGAAGCACCGGCUAACUACGUG
rnacentral:rRNA from 1 species